AUAUUAUUAAGCGGAGGAAAGGAAACUAACAAGGAUUCCCCUAGUAACGGCGAGUGAAGCGGGAAAAGCUCAACUUUGAAAUCUCCCACCAGGGCGAAUUGUAGUUUAGAGAAGCGCUUUCGGGGGCGGCCUGGGUCCAAGUCCUUUGGAAUGAGGCAUCAGAGAGGGUGAGAAUCCCGUUCUCGGCCCGGUGUCCGCUCCUGUGUGAUGCGUCUUCAAAGAGUCGGAUAGCUUGGGAAUGCUGUCCAAAAUGGGUGGUAAAUACCAUCUAAAGCCAAAUAUUGGCGAGAGACCGAUAGCGCACAAGUA
rnacentral:rRNA from 1 species